GUUCAGUUAAAGGAAGCACCCUUUAUAAACAAAAGAAGAAAAACAAUCCUCCAUUUGUUAAAUAAGCUAACUAUAAUUAUGUUACUCAAUUGCUUCGGUUUCAUAAAAUUGAUUGAUUAGGAUCACAUAGGAAAUGAAAGAGUGCAAUAUCAUGCAUUAUAUGAUUUAUAUAUAAAGUUAAAAUAAGCAACACGCUUAGAAAACUUUUUAUCAAUUUUAAUUCAAUAACCAAAAUUUAUUCAGGCAAAGCAGAAUUUCGAAAAGGAAUUAAGCAUAACCUUUACUCGAGCCUUCAUCUAAAGCAGUAAUGUCGGUUUGUUCAUUAGAACUAGAUAAGCUGCUGUUUGUCUCAGAUGCAUUUGCAACCUCUUCCUUUUCCUCUUCAACUUGUGCUGCUACAGGUAUUUGUUCUUGCACUUCUUCGGUGGCAGGACUUUCAGGAGAGGGAACUUGAUCAUUUGCUGCUGUUUCAUCUGUCGACAGAUGAUUCAAAGUUCAGUUAAAGGAAGCACCCUUUAUAAACAAAAGAAGAAAAACAAUCCUCCAUUUGUUAAAUAAGCUAACUAUAAUUAUGUUACUCAAUUGCUUCGGUUUCAUAAAAUUGAUUGAUUAGGAUCACAUAGGAAAUGAAAGAGUGCAAUAUCAUGCAUUAUAUGAUUUAUAUAUAAAGUUCAAAUAAGCAACACGCUUAGAAAACUUUUUAUCAAUUUUAAUUCAAUGACCAAAAUUUAUUCAGGCAAAGCAGAAUUUCGAAAAGGAAUUAAGCAUAACCUUUACUCGAGCCUUCAUCUAAAGCAGUAAUGUCGGUUUGUUCAUUAGAACUAGAUAAGCUGCUGUUUGUCUCAGAUGCAUUUGCAACCUCUUCCUUUUCCUCUUCAACUUGUUCUGCUACAGGUAUUUGUUCUUGCACUUCUUCGGUGGCAGGACUUUCAGGAGAGGGAACUUGAUCGUUUUCUUCUGUUACAGCUGUCGACAGAGGAUUCACAUUAAAUGA
rnacentral:lncRNA from 1 species